GAUGAACGCUGGCGGCGUGCCUAAUACAUGCAAGUCGAGCGAACAGAUGAGGAGCUUGCUCCUCUGACGUUAGCGGCGGACGGGUGAGUAACACGUGGAUAACCUACCUAUAAGACUGGGAUAACUUCGGGAAACCGGAGCUAAUACCGGAUAAUAUAUUGAACCGCAUGGUUCAAUAGUAAAAGACGGUUUUGCUGUCACUUAUAGAUGGAUCCGCGCCGCAUUAGCUAGUUGGUAAGGUAACGGCUUACCAAGGCAACGAUGCGUAGCCGACCUGAGAGGGUGAUCGGCCACACUGGAACUGAGACACGGUCCAGACUCCUACGGGAGGCAGCAGUAGGGAAUCUUCCGCAAUGGGCGAAAGCCUGACGGGGCAACGCCGCGUGAGUGAUGAAGGUCUUCGGAUCGUAAAACUCUGUUAUUAGGGAAGAACAAAUGUGUAAGUAACUAUGCACGUCUUGACGGUACCUAAUCAGAAAGCCACGGCUAACUACGUG
rnacentral:rRNA from 1 species